AUGGGGUGCUGUGGCUGUGGUGGCUGUGGUGGCUGUGGUGGCUGUGGCAGCUGUGGUGGCUGUGGCGGCUGUGGUGGCUGUGGCGGCUGCGGUGGCUGUGGUGGCUGCGGCAGCUGCGGCAGCUGUGGUGGCUGCUGUGGUGGCUGCUGUGGGAGCUGCUGUGGUUGCUGCUGCUGCCCCACUGUGUGCUGCUACCGCCGCACCUGUUGCCAUCGCUCCUGUGGCUGUGGCUCUGGGAAGGGCUGUUGCCAACAGAAGGGCUGCUGCCAGCAGAAGUGUGGCUGCAGCCCUUCUGUUGGCAACAGCCCUUCCCACAGCCACAGCCACAGGAGCGAUGGCAACAGGUGCGGCGGUAGCAGCACACAGUGGGGCAGCAGCAGCAACCACAGCAGCUCCCACAGCAGCCACCACAGCAGCCACCACAGCUGCCACCACAGCUGCCACAGCUACCACAGCCACCGCAGCUGCCACAGCCACCACAGCUGCCACAGCCACCACAGCCGCCACAGCCGCCACAGCCACCACAACCACCACAGCCACAGCACCCCAUGGUGUCAGUCGAGAGGACUCAGUGCAGUGAGGAGAGAGGAGUCAGGAGAGGUCAGGAAGGUCUGAUGCCCCUGCUCUGGGGGAGGCCCUUAUAUACCAGCUCUGGGGACAGGAGACUGAAGCCUCAUGACCCCUUCCUUGUUGCCUUUGACCCAAACCACAUGGAGGACUCUCACGAUGCCUUGUUUACUUCCUGUUCCGGUGUGUCUUCACCGUAUUUUCAGUUUUGUUUUUCCUAUAGCUUUGUUGCUGCAUGAGUAAUUGUUGGCUACGUGUUCUACGGAAGCCUUCUGAGAACCAGUGGAAUGAAGAGGCUGCGAGCAGUAAGAGCUUCUUUCUACUUCUUCCCACAGUGCCGAGAACAGAAGUCCAUGUGUGGGACUCUGCAGAGAGCUUACAAAGCACAGGCACCAGCCAGCAUCCCCAGGACCAGAGAAUCUGUGAUCCUCUAUCAGGAAUGGGGAACUGUUUUUCCCACAACUCUAUAUAAAUAUGUAUAGCAUCAUCCAUGAGCUAUCCACAUUAUCAACUUGAAAGUUAGUCUGUUAUAAAGUUAUUCAAUGUUGAGUUCCACCUGUGGUUGCCAAAUGAGUUCAUGAGCCGUAUAUGCCCUGGGGGCCAGAAGUUUCCCACCCCUACAAGGGUGGGUGCCAUGCAGUUUAUAAGGUACAGUCCCAAAGUUAAAAUGGCUGAAAUAGAAAGUGACACUGGAGUCAGAGGUAGGAAAAAGUUAACAACUUCAAGUCAGAGGCCGGAUGCCGUAUUCCCAUUGACUGAGCUGGGGCAGGAAACAUCAACCUCUCUCCUUUCAUCUGAAGCAAAUCAUUGUCAUUGUUCUGCACACUCAGCCUUGACUGGUAUUUCACACAGAAUGAUUCAUCAGUGGAAUACGCCCUCCGAUGAUGCAAUCAUUGGUAUGUUUUGCUUUGGAGGAAG
rnacentral:lncRNA from 1 species